UUAAAAUCAACCCAGGUGUAUCCACACGUUGGAUUGCUCUUAGGGUUUGAGAUGUUGUACGUCGUUGCUUUGCCCUGAUGGGUGACGUUGCACGGGUCAACAAAUAGGCCUACGCCAACUGCUGGAAUGAAUAAAAAAAGGCACUUCAUUCCGACUCCAAAUUCGAUCCUUUGUGGUAUGGUCGUCUCGGGCUAGGUAUGACUCGGAGAGUGGUUAAUGUUCCACAGGUGGUUUAUUCUAACAGAGACACAAGGUAAACGAGCUGGCGUUCUGUGAACAGGACAGGUGAACAGAGUAUAGUGCAGAAUGGUGAAUAAGCCACGCCUAAUUUUUUUACCCGGGUAAACCCCCGGUCUGUCUUGGCUUAAGCGGAAAUUGCAAAGUGGCAAAGUUUAGUCUUUAACUUAUCUACAAAAUGUUGUUGUCCAUUAGGUGGAGAAGAAACCAUUGAAACAUGUCUCCGAGACGCGCCGAAACUCCGAGGAGGCAACAUGUCAGCCGUCACCUCCGGGGCUCAGAGACUCGCUCAGAGAGCCGCCAAGAGGCUCUGAUGAGCUCGGAGCGGGACGCAGAGGAACAAGGGAGAGACAUGCGAGCAACGGCAUUUUCAUCCGUUAUAUAAAUAUCUCAUACAUAAAUAAAAGAAUAUCAUUACUAAAUAAUUAUGCAGGCUUUAUAAUAAUAAUAAUUACAAAGAGUAAUAUUUAAUUAAUUUGCGGUGCUGUGAUGCGUUUUCAUCAGUGUGUGUGUGUGUGUGUGUGUGUGUGUGUGUGUGUGUGUGUGUGUGUGUGUGUGUGUGUGUGCGUGUGUGUGCGCGCUUAUGCAUCAUGUUUGUGCGUGUGUGGAGGCUUGAGAGGAGUGGACAGAGGGGGAGAGAGUGAGAGGGGGAGAGCAAGAGCGAAGGAGCGAGAGCAGCAGAGCCAUGAAGACUGUCUUUGUGCUUGUGUAAAGCUGGAGAGACCACAUUUGUCACAUGCGCUGUACAUCCAGGCCUGCAUCGCAUCAGCUCCACUGCGGUGGAGGAGACCUUCAGACCUGCAGACUAAACACGUGGAGGACGUUCCAACAGGAGUCCCAGCAGCCUGUGAGCUUCACACCCGUCUAGAGGUUAGCAGAGGCCUUUAACACAAGAGGCUCACGGUGGAUUCAUUUUCAGGGGUACGGGUUAGGGGGCGGCAUGCUCGAGGAGGCCCACGACUGUGGACAUUGGGGGUACGACUACGAACCCAGAGCGUUGGGCCUGGGGGUACAAGGCUAGACACCACAGCACUAGCCUGGCCUCCUGCACUCCUAUACGGAUGACAAGGCACUCGCACUUAUUGUAUGUUGUAGCCACAGAGAGACAUAUCAAUCAUAUGUAACAGCUGUAACAGCAAAACAAUAACAAUCAGCGUCAGUACCAUCCUACCAGUAGACAGCGUUUGGCUCACUGCACUUUCUCUCUGACAUCAACCCUCGACAGUCAACUUAGCUCUAAGCAUGAAUUUCAGGAUUCAAACUGGACAUUACUUGAAAACUGUACUAUAGUUGAUCCACCUAUGAGCAGUUUCAAUAAAAAUCGGUGUUUUAAUUAAAUAAAUUGUAAGUUAUGUUUCUUUAUUAGUGAAAUGUGCAACAUUUUCAAUUGUAGUAAUUCAGGUAAAGCGAAAUUGUGACAUUUUCUCUGGAAUACAUUGCAUUCUAGUGGUGCACAGUUGUACCUUAUUUUACAAUUUAUAGCUUAGCAUUGCAUAUUUCUACCCAUUAUGCAAGAAACUGUUGGUACCGUGCACAUGACGUUGAUAUGACCUACACCUUAUAUUUAUCAACAAGUUAGGAAUACAGCCCACUUAUACGUGAUUGUCUUUAUUAUUCAUAUUGUGAUCAAAAACAAUAAGAAUGUGUUGCAAAAAACACUUUUUUUUUUAAGAGUCCUCUCUUAGUUUGGAAGAUUGGGAAGCUAAGAUGGUCCUCAAUUUGAUCAAGAACACAGACGACAUCAAAGUUACAGCUUGAUGUCAAAAUACAAAAUCACAUUAAGCAUUAUAAGAAUAUAAAAAAACAGCAA